UGCCAAUAUGUAACAGUUUGAUAAAGCCCAAUAGACUUAACUUACGCAGCUUCGUUAUGUCUAACGAAACGUACGCGUGGAGGCAUGAAACACAAAACCGAAAACCCAUUAAACUACAAUGAGCGUUUACCUUUUAAACCAUUAAAAAAAAAAAACCUUAAAAUGGCAGCGGCUUAAGGAAAUGUAGUUGAAAAAGUGUAAACUAAUUGUAGGUUGAGAGGUGUUUAGUUAAAGACUCUCUCCUACUUAUAUGAUAUUAAUAAUCUGAAAAAUCCAUUAAUUUAUUUUGAAUUUUUUUUUUUUUGUCGGCGACAUACAAAACAGAAGGCUCAAACGAGUCAAUUCGAAGGACAAUUGUUAACAAACUUGACUGAAGACGGACUAGAACAAGCUUGAUAUUGAAUUCUUGAUGACAAUUUAAGCUUUUCUUUUCUUUCUAUAUUCU
rnacentral:lncRNA from 1 species